rnacentral:lncRNA from 1 species
AUGUUUUUCUUUCCCCCAGGCUUGCCUGGUUGCCUGUAUGCCCAUGGAGGGAGAGGCAGUGAGUUGAAGUGGGAACGGAGGUUCCUGCUUCUCAGAGAAGAUUCCUGGGUCUUACUGCAGAUAUAUUUAGUGAUGUUAAGAAAGUAUCGGGCUUCCCCCGUGGCUCAGCGGUACAGAAUCCGCCUGCAAUGCGGGAGAUGUGGUUCGAUCCCUGGGGAGAUCCCCUGGAGAAGAGAAUGGCAACCCACUCCAGUGUUCUUGCCUGGAGAAUCCCACGGACAGAGGAGCCCAGCGGGCUAGAGUCCAUAGCGUUUGCAGAGUCGGACACGACUGAAUGACUGAACACACAAGAAAAUAUCAGAUAUUUGGGGCCUGUGGGUGAAUCACAUAGUGUGUUUAUAUAUAUUGCAAUGGUAAAAGCAAAGAAUUUCCUUUUAUCAAAUAAUGGCACCAUGCCAAGUAUUUUCACUCACGUGAUCUCAGCCGUCUUGUCGGAAAGGCAGCCAUCCGUCCCGUUUACACUAAAGGAAACUGAGGGUCUGAGAGAUGAAGCAACUUGCCCCAAGACCUUACAACCAGGAAGUGGCCUGGCUCACUCCAGGCCCUCCUGCCGCCCUCGGUCGUGGGGCCUCGCCCUGCCCUCCACCACGGCCCCCUCUGAGGAACCUCAACCCCACAGGCUGUCCCCACAGCAGGUGGUGUGCUGAGGAAACCCUCAAGUCCACCGCAAACACCUCUAGUGAAGGCCAGACGUUUGCUUGGUUUGUAAUAGUUGCCUCCACUAAACUCAUUUGGCCUUUGCGACACGUACCACAUGCAUUUGAAUUUUAGCGCUUGGGGACAGGUAGUCCACAGCUUAGCACUCUGCAGGUGAGGUUUUCUAAAGCAGGGGUCCUUACCCUGCAGGAUCUAAUGCCUGAUGGUCUGAGGUGGAGCUGAUGUGAUAAUAAUAAAGUACGCAGUACGCAGUAAAUGUGAUGCACUUGAAUCAUCCGGAAACCAACCACACCCCUGCCCUACUCCACCCCACUCCUGUCCGUGGAAAAAUUGUUUUCCACGAAACCAGUUCCUGGUGCCAAAGAGCUUGGGGACUGUUCCUCUAAAGGGCCUCAGUGUCAUCCUUUAUGAUCCAGAUCAGAGGAAACUGGUCUGCACUCUGGGCUGAAACAGC